GGACUGCAGUUUGUCUGACCCGCUUCUAAAACGAACCACCAGGUCCCUGGAGGCAGCGUUCGGGGCUCUGAUGGGUUUGGGUGCUCGGAAUUGGCCCUCGAUCACCACCGCUUUGGCCUGUCGGGGUUGUAGUAAGGCCCCUAUCAGGCGUCUCACGAAGUGUGGAAGCUCAGCAUCCGGUAUCUCCUCUGUCACCCCCCGCACCUUGAUGUUAUUUUGGUGCCGGGAAUCUUCUUGGGCAGCAAAUUGGCGUUCGUGUAGCUGAUUUUGGUGUUGUAAUUCCUGCACUGUUUGCUGGAGCGCCGUUAAUUGCUGGGAGUGUUCUGUGGUGGUGAGUUCGAGUUUCCCGAUGCGGCCUGUGAGGCCUCUCAGGUCUCCGCGGAUUGUAGCUAUGUCCGCUGAGAUGUGCUUUUGGAGGUCGGCCAGCAUCUCCUUUAGGUCAGCUUUAGUCACUGGGGACGCCUCUGUGUCCUGUGGUCUCCGUAUGGGUCUCUCUAGUGCCUGCGGGUAUUCUAUUUCGGCUCCCAGUGAGUAGUCAUCAGAAAAAUCAGAGCAGGCUCCAGUGAGGGCAGCCAUCUUGGGCCC